UUUCUACUCCCUCCGUCCGAAAACACUUGUCAUUAAAAUGGAUAAAAAGAGAUGUAUCUAAAACUAAAAUACGUCUAGAUACAUUUCCUUUUAUCCAUUUUGAUGACAAGUAUUUCCGGACGGAGGGAGUAUUUG
rfam:Triticum urartu cultivar G1812 contig399551, whole genome shotgun sequence.